rnacentral:rRNA from 1 species
GACGAACGCUGGCGGCGUGCUUAACACAUGCAAGUCGAACGGAAAGGCCCUGCUUUUGUGGGGUGCUCGAGUGGCGAACGGGUGAGUAACACGUGAGUAACCUGCCCUUGACUUUGGGAUAACUUCAGGAAACUGGGGCUAAUACCGGAUAGGAGCUCCUGCUGCAUGGUGGGGGUUGGAAAGUUUCGGCGGUUGGGGAUGGACUCGCGGCUUAUCAGCUUGUUGGUGGGGUAGUGGCUUACCAAGGCUUUGACGGGUAGCCGGCCUGAGAGGGUGACCGGCCACAAUGGGACUGAGAUACGGCCCAGACUCCUACGGGAGGCAGCAGUGGGGAAUAUUGCAGAAUGGGCGGAAGCCUGAUGCAGCAACGCCGCGUGCGGGAUGACGGCCUUCGGGUUGUAAACCGCUUUCGCCUGUGACGAAGCGUGAGUGACGGUAAUGGGUAAAGAAGCACCGGCUAACUACGUG